rnacentral:rRNA from 1 species
AGAACGACUCUCGACAACGGAUAUCUCGGCUCUCGCAUCGAUGAAGAACGUAGCGAAAUGCGAUACUUGGUGUGAAUUGCAGAAUCCCGUGAACCAUCGAGUCUUUGAACGCAAGUUGCGCCAGAAGCCAUCAGGUCGAGGGCACGUCUGCCUGGGCGUCACAC